GUGGAUUGGAUACCCCAGUAGUCCGCACAGUAAACGAUGGAUGCUCGCUGUCCGGCCUUUACGGCCGUGUGGCCAAGCGAAAGCGUUAAGCAUCCCACCUGGGGAGUACGCCGGCAACGGUGAAACUCAAAGGAAUUGACGGGGGCCCGCACAAGCGGAGGAACAUGUGGUUUAAUUCGAUGAUACGCGAGGAACCUUACCCGGGCUUGAACUGCCAGCGAACGAUUCAGAGAUGAUGAGGUCCUUCGGGACGCUGGUGGAGGUGCUGCACGGCUGUCGUCAGCU
rnacentral:rRNA from 1 species